UAUGACUCUUGACAAUGGAUAUCUUGGCUCUUGCAUCGAUGAAGAGCGUAGCGAAAUGCGAUACAUGGUGCGAAUUGCAGAAUCCCGUGAACCAUCGAGUUUUUGAAUGCAAGUUGCGCCUGAGGCCCAGCAGGCCAAAGGCACGUCUGCCUGGGAAUCAAGCAAUUCAUCGCUCU
rnacentral:rRNA from 1 species